rnacentral:rRNA from 1 species
UACGUAGGGGGCAAGCGUUGUCCGGAAUCAUUGGGCGUAAAGAGCGUGUAGGCGGCUAUGCAAGUCGGAUGUGAAAGCCCCCGGCUCAACCGGGGAGGGUCGUUGGUGACUGUCGCGCUUGAAGGCAGCAGGGGUGAGUGGAAUUCCCGGUGUAGUGGUGAAAUGCGUAGAUAUCGAGAGGAACACCUGCGGCGAAGGCGGGUUGCUGGGCUGACACUGACGCUGAUGCGCGAAAGCCAGGGGAGCGAACGGG